UUCGGGUUGUAAAGUACUUUCAGCAGUGAGGAAGGUGGAUAUGUUAAUAGUCAUAUUCAUUUGACGUUAGCUGCAGAAGAAGCACCGGCUAACUCCGUGCCAGCAGCCGCGGUAAUACGGAGGGUGCGAGCGUUAAUCGGAAUUACUGGGCGUAAAGCGCAUGCAGGUGGUUUGUUAAGUCAGAAUGUGAAAGCCCGGGGCUCAACCUCGGAAUUGCAUUUGAAACUGGCAAACUAGAGUACUGGUAGAGGGGGGUAGAAUUUCAGGUGUAGCGGUGAAAUGCGUAGAGAUCUGAAGGAAUACCGGUGGCGAAGGCGGCCCCCUGGACAGAUACUGACACUCAGAUGCGAAAAGCGUGGGGAGCAAACAGGAUUAGAUACCCUGGUAG
rnacentral:rRNA from 1 species